rnacentral:rRNA from 1 species
UGCCAGCAGCCGCGGUAAUACGGAGGGUGCAAGCGUUAAUCGGAAUUACUGGGCGUAAAGCGUACGUAGGAUGUGAUGCAAGUCGGAUGUGAAAUCCCCGGGCUUAACCUGGGAACUGCAUUCGAAACUACAUCACUAGAGUGUAGUAGAGGUAAGCGGAAUUUCGGGUGUAGCGGUGAAAUGCGUAGAUAUCCGAAAGAACAUCAGUGGCGAAGGCGGCUUACUGGACUAACACUGACUCUGAGGUACGAAAGCGUGGGGAGCAAACAGGAUUAGAUA